CACGGGCCGGGGGCUCCGGUGGUUUCCGCCGCUCGCCCUCCCCCCAGCCGCGUGUGCGGGGAGUUUGGGGUGCUCCCGUAUGGAAUACGGUGGAGAACCUGGCCGGAGGCUGCGACCGGGGGGGCGGAAAAGCAGUUCUCCCGGUGAUGUGUCGGGUCAGCCAGCCCUCGAGUGCACUUUCUUGGUGGACGUGCUGUGGCCGAUGUGCAGGGGAAGCACCUGGAUGCUUUCGUGCGGCAGACCAGAGAUCUGCCUGUUCAGAUACCUGCAUAGGUAUUUCCAUGAACUUCCUUCCCACUCUUAAAAGUGCAGGGCGCCAGCCUCUUUCUCGGUGGAAGUGGCGGCUGUGAGUGUUAGGCCUCAUGUAUGCUGGUGUUUCUCUUAAAUUUCCCACGGUCUCGUUGCCAGCCGCUCUGUUAGGAGCGAGCCCACGGUGGUGAAACACCGGUGCCCACUGCCAGUUGGUUUUUAUAAUCGCUGCGUUGUUUAGAUGUGCAUCAAUCAGUCAGAUGUCGGCGGCUGAAAUGCAGCCAGUCGCGCUAAAAUAAGGGUAGAUGCACCAUUUGAAAUCAUAGCAACCGCUUGAACCAGAGCGUAGAUGAGAAAAUGCCGCUGGCCAGAUCAUCGCAGACAGAGAGGUCUGUGACUGCCCGUGGAGAGAGGCUGUAAUUAUAUCGCAGAACUGGUUGUAGCUUUGGCUUGGACAUCUGAAAGGGAAACCCUUGUAAAUAACUUAGUUGGACCACAUCUGUUGGGUUUGCAUCUUAAUGCGGAGUAGAGCGUAAAAGGUGACGAUAAUAAUAAUAAUGGCUAAUCGUAUGGUCGGGUAUGGUCUGUUCACAGAAACUGCCAUUCCAGACCAAGGCCUGGGGAAGAUGUAUUUUGAAAUUGGGGAGGAGGGUGUUCUUUGGACUUAUAUUGAAAAAGCCAGGUAGGCAAGCUCCUUUUGUAUGCGUGUUUAGUUUAGAUUGUGCUAGUAUAGAAUAUAGUGCUUUUUUCUUUUUUUUUUUUUGCUUUAUUUUUCCCUUAAUGAUGUCUAUAUUCCUUAGCAUCAUCUUCUGGGUUUGGGUCUUAAUUCCUGCUGUAGCUUAUGUUGUUGUAGAGAUGUGUGGAUAA
rnacentral:lncRNA from 1 species